GACGAACGCUGGCGGCGUGCCUAAUACAUGCAAGUUGAGCGCUGAAGGUUGGUACUUGUACCAACUGGAUGAGCAGCGAACGGGUGAGUAACGCGUGGGGAAUCUGCCUUUGAGCGGGGGACAACAUUUGGAAACGAAUGCUAAUACCGCAUAAAAACUUUAAACACAAGUUUUAAGUUUGAAAGAUGCAAUUGCAUCACUCAAAGAUGAUCCCGCGUUGUAUUAGCUAGUUGGUGAGGCAAAGGCUCACCAAGGCGAUGAUACAUAGCCGACCUGAGAGGGUGAUCGGCCACAUUGGGACUGAGACACGGCCCAAACUCCUACGGGAGGCAGCAGUAGGGAAUCUUCGGCAAUGGACGAAAGUCUGACCGAGCAACGCCGCGUGAGUGAAGAAGGUUUUCGGAUCGUAAAACUCUGUUGGUAGAGAAGAACGUUGGUGAGAGUGGAAAGCUCAUCAAGUGACGGUAACUACCCAGAAAGGGACGGCUAACUACGUG
rnacentral:rRNA from 1 species